AACAAUAUAAAGUCCAAAAGAGUUUUAAAACUUUAGAAUCUCUCUAAAAUGUAGAAAACCUGAUAUUCUAUCCUUCAAGACUUUAAAGCCAGACCCAAUAAUCAAGAUUAAGAUAAACAAUCGACGGUGUGGCUGACGAGCACAGGCAGUGGCGCGAUUGAACGUGGGUGGCUGCGAGGGAGAAGCUAGUUACAGAGAGGGAGAGAGAAAUCUAAGGAAUAAAGAGAGAGAGAGAGGCGUUGCUCUGACCAUCGUGCGGAGGCGCGGACUGCAAGUGUUCAGUGGCAGACGGAGACGGAGGCUCGAUGGGUAGCGGAUGGUGAUCAAUGCUGGACAAUGAGGGGGAUGGGUUGCAAGAGUUAGGGGAACUCCCGACGCCUAUCGGGGUGCGUUGGGAGUUCCCACUUAAAAACCCACCAAAGUAUAUAUUCGAGAGAAAAAGGUCGAGCAGAACCCUGUCGCUCGAAAACGCACCACCGUUGUUCGUGCCACAGUCGUCCAGAUCAUCUUCGACAAUGUUGCCGCCCCCGCCUGCCCUAUCUCUUCCGGUCUUCAACGAUGAACAAGAAUUGGAUCAAACUUAGAAAUAAAUUGGAUCAAUUUGAGCUCAAUGAACACCAAGGGGAGUGGGACGUGCGGACCUAUUCAAAGAAACACAUGCCAAUAAGAGUGACCAAUUCGUGAAUCAAGCAACUGAGGAUGUCCAUAAGGUUCUCAACCACUCUCAGGAAAAGAAAUAUGCAAGAAGAUUUUAGAUAGACGAUCGUACUAUUCAAAUUGUCUUGAUUGGGGCCCCAAACCCAAGUCAAAGAAGGGUGGGUAGCAGUGCAUCGAGUUCAAUGUCUCAAAAAGUACGUAGGGAGGUGAGGGAACUAAGAAAUAUCCUUGAGAGCUCGCAAUCUUGGAUUGAAAAACAAAGUCAUAUGAUUGAAAACAAAGUCAUAUGAUUGAAGAACAACGCCAUAUGAUUGAAGAACAAAGUCAUGUGAUUAAAGAACAAGGACGUGUGAUUGAAGAACAAAGUUGUAUAAAUAAAGAAUACAACCAUAUGAUUGAAGAAAUGAAAAAAAAAAUGAUUGAAGAAAUAAAACGAGCACAGACAGGACCUUGAACUUAAGGAGUGGACUUGGUUCGAUGACGUCUGACGAUGAGAGAUUAUGGAUUUUUUUAUGUAUUUAUUGUUCCAAAUGAACAUUGUAAACAAACUCUCUUUUUUCUUAAUGAAAUAUGUUCUAAUUUUGUAAAUUAA